CUGCUGUUCUGCUGUCCCCGUCCCUUUAAAUUGCCUGUGUGGAGUACGUGCCCUGCGACUUCACGUAACCCCAGUCAAUUGACUGUGCUUGGCCAAUUACGUAAUUGAGCACAGGUGUUUAAUCAGACUGUGGCGUCUUCCUCAUUCAGAAGUGUGGGGAAGCUGAUCGACAGUUGUGGAUAGAACAACUUAACUGGCUGCAGGGAAUUCGUCACCGCCAUCAGGGUAUGUUUACAUAGAGGAACUGGCCAGGUUCUCUCUCUCUAGAGAUGAAUGAUGGCGAGCUGAAUUACUAUGGCUAGGAGCCUAACAUCUGAGCAGCAUCUACUGAACAGCCAUCCUAUUGGUCUGGUAGGAAGGUUGUCUGCAGCUUGUCCCCAACACACGUCUCCAUAGACUAGCGCUUCAGUCCCACAUGCACAUCCUUUCCCUGGACAAUAACCAAUGGACUUAUUAAUAUAAAUUCUCAUAAACUCUUGUGGGUUGUCGUGUUAGUCUUCAAGAAACCAAACAUCGCUGGGACAGUUUUUUUCUCUUUUCUUUUUUGCUCUUGUGUGUGGUAUUUGCUGUAAUUUCUGUUGUUGUAUCUUACUUGAACAAUAACUUCAAAGUGCACUUGAUUAUAAUCGGUUCAACUGCAGUCUGUAAAUAUUUUGUGUUUCUCCUAUGUUUUUCUUUCGUUAUUUUUGGUUGUAAAUAUUGUUUAAUCACUUUAAUACAUGGUACCUACACCAAAUUUAAAAUUAUGUUUCUGUGUUACUGACCACCAGCUCCUAUAGCCGAAUUUAGACUUCUGUGAGUUAAUUGGCCUAUGUUGUUUAUUUCCAUAGCUACCUAUUCAACCUAUUAUAGCUAAUAUUAAUGACAUAAUAUUGGCCAGCAGGUCUCAAAGACCCGUUACAU
ensembl:lncRNA